AACGCGAAGAACCUUACCUAGGUUUGACAUGCUAGUGAAAGCCUUGUGAAAACAAGGUCCUCCUUCGGGACACUAGCACAGGUGCUGCAUGGCUGUCGUCAGCUCGUGUCGUGAGAUGUUGGGUUAAGUCCCGCAACGAGCGCAACCCUUGCCCCGUGUUACUAACAGGUAAAGCUGAGGACUCUCGGGGGACUGCCGGCGUCAAGCCGGAGGAAGGUGGGGACGACGUCAAGUCAUCAUGGUCCUUACGUCUAGGGCUGCAAACAUGCUACAAUGGCCAGUACAAAGGGCUGCUAAACCGUGAGGUGGAGCGAAUCCCAAAAAGCCGGUCUCAGUUCGGAUUGGGGUCUGCAACUCGACCCCAUGAAGUCGGAGUCGCUAGUAAUCGCAGAUCAGCAACGCUGCGGUGAAUACGUUCCCGGGCCUUGUACACACCG
rnacentral:rRNA from 1 species